AAGCAGGGCUAGUGCUGGGGUGGAGGGGCCUGGGGCUGGGAUGGGGGCUGUGUGGGGUCUGCAUGCCUUCGGAUGGGGUCCGAAGGCUGUUUUGGGAGGGCACAGCAUCCUGGCACCCGACGGGGACCCUGUGGUCCCUGCCAAGUGGAGCCGGUGCAGCCUCUUCCCUUCGCUGUGGAUCUUGGCAUGGAAAACCCCAAAUACUGCUAGGAUCCUGCUGAGUGGCUGGCAGCCACGGCUACGUGAUGCCAGGAGAGCCGGCAGCCUCCCUGCGUGCUGUGGCACGUCACUGGCGUCUGUGGAUCCCUCCCCGACCUGAAGCUGUGCCCCCCAGCCUGGUGAGGAGGUGCUGCCUCCCGCUGUGCCCCCCUUCACCCGCUCGAGGUCUGCGGGUGGCUGGCACCGCGCACGCCCACUGUAUUUUACCGGCACGAUUUCCUCCUUUGGCAUCGGUGACGGGAGCGGGGGCGGAGAUGGGGGGAGCCCGGGGGAGACACAAAUGUGCGACUGCAGCAUCCUUCGCUCUCACGGCUGCAUCCCUCGCACCUCCUCACGGUUGCCUUGGCAACCUCCUAUCGAUGGGGUAUUUAUAGAGGAGACGAACGCGUACGCGUCGGAGCUGGCGGGGCGGGAGGACACAGCGGGACUGGGUGGGCGUCUGCUGGGUCAGCCCCCAUCUCCAGGCUUCUCUCCGCUUGCGUGGCUGCGCGGGGGCAGGAGGGAUGCUGCUCGUGUUGGCGUCAGUGUGUGCUGUGGUCCAGCUUUUCCUGCUCAUCGGCGCCGGGGCGGAGGUGGUUAGGAAUUUGCGUGUGGAAAUAAAAAUAAGCAUCCGGGAUGCCUGCCCUUCUCGCAGGCAUCGCUCCUGCUUGUAGGCUUGUGUAGACCUGGUUUGUUGUUGCACUGGAAUAAACCGUCUCUGAGCUCUGGCACUGGGUGCUUUGGCACAGGUACUUGGAAAAAAGUUAAAGAUAAAAUCUGCCUGACGCAUUAAAUGUGUUGCCUGAUGUGUGACGUGGGUUAUGGAGCUGGGGGUCCUGACAAAUCUGGUCUUGUAUAUCCUUAUUUCUGCAUCUCUGUUCUCCUGUCUAUUAAAGGGGGAGAAUGCCUGUAACAACGAGCAAUACAGAGGUUUUGUGUGGAAACUGUGGCAAGUUUUCCAUGCCGUGUGUUUCUUUUUAUCCUGUGUGUUUGGGUCUCUUUGUAAAAACUGAUGACAACAAAAGCAGGUCAGGUAGUCCCUGCUCAGAGCUGAGGCAGCCUGUGGGGGGAUGCAUGGAUCCGGAGGCUUCUCAGCUGCUCUCGUAUCCCCCAGAACCGCUCAGAGAAGUGGGCUUGGGUGCUCAAUUUAUCAAGAAGAGUCCUCCAGGUGUGGGCUGUGGGGCGCAGAAGGUGGCAGACCCCUCCUGUGUAAUUCCGGUGCUCUGCCGCUUUCCCUCGCUCCUGCUUAAACUCCAGACUGAGGUUUGCAAACUGUUGGAAAGAAACUGCUUUCUGCCUCUGGAGACAGCUCCGGGCUUGCCUGGCCUCGUGCCACUUGUGGUGCAGGAACCUCGGAAAGCUACAGGAAAACCUGCUGUUGGCGGGGAGAGGUCCCAGAUUUACUGAGGAGGCGGCUGUUGGUGAGGUGAGGGAGCGCCUGCUGUGGUGCUGUGCACCGGCCCUUCUGCGUGUCUGGAUUCCUGCCUUUGACGUGAAAUCAGAAAUGCGUUUCCAGCCCCACUGACCCUGUGCACGGCCCUGUGCUGUCCCUGACCUCGCUCCAGCUGAACGGAUUCAAGUGCUUUUGGGAUAACUUUGAAUAAUCUGAAGUCCCGCACCUAAGAUUAGCAUGCGGUUCAGUUCCUGCUGUUUCUAACCGCGUUUGUUCCUUCAUCCGCAAUAAAUCCCUGUAGGAGCUGGUUAGUCCUGUCCCCUCUGUCUCCUGGCAGAGUUGUGGCUUUGCCACAGCAAGGUGUCACACAGGGCGAGAGGAGACAAGUUCGCCCAGGAUGGUCUGAUUGGUGGGGCAUCGAGCACGGGGAGAAGAUAAAGCGUGAAAAACAAGUGAGUGAAACUCCUCCUGUGAGCAGAGAGGGAUACACUCUGCUUGUGCAGGACUUUGUUUCACUCUUGUGGGGUUUUGUUUAAUUCUGAAGUACAAAAGAUGCUUAUCCAGCUGGAGAGCUGUUGUCCUGGGUGUGCAGGGAAUUCUGUCGCUCUUGGUGUUGCCCUUAGCUUGGCCCAACAACCUUUAGGAGAUGCAUAUCCUUUUCUUGCCGGCUUUAUGGCAGUGGAGAAAACAGUAUGGCCCUGUUUGUUGCAGCUUGUGCGUAGGAGUUGCAGAAGGUAGAACUGGCACGGCUGUGAAAUGGAUUUAAAACAGGAUGACUUGCUUUACCUGGAUCCAUCAAUCUCUUCUGGAAGGGAAGAGCACCCGGCUGCUCCCAGCAGCUUCUGACGUGCAGGACGUCUGUACUGAUGAGAUAUGGGGACUCUCCCUCAUCCAGUUCUUCCCUUCCUGCUUCCCUUUGUCUGGGCAGGUCCCCGUCCCUUCCCCAGGCUGGUGCAGCACAAGUACGGCAGGAACCUGCCCCAGGCUCUCGGAGAGCCCAGGGUGCCCUGAGCCCCCCUGGUCCCUCCAGCCACAUGAUGAGCGGGGAGGCAGCAGGAUUCCUUGGCUCUCCGAAGAGGCACUGCUUGGCCGGGGACUGUCCCUGCUUUCUGCAUGAAUCUGACCCUGGGCAGUGGAGGCUUUGGGCUUCAGCGGGGGGAAAUUUAAGCUGUCAGUGACUCUCCUGUUUUCUUCCCUGCAGGUAGGCAGGACCCCCCCCCCCCCCGGUAGCCGAGUGAGGCAGCAUGGCAACCUGCGCGGAGGCUGCAUGCAGCGAUGUGAUGGGAGCUCAAGGAGGCCGGCGAUUGUGAACGGGGAGAUGUAGAGAUCUGGCUGGGAUCUCGGCAUUUGCUUGGGCUGUCACCGGAGCCAGCUAUGAAGGUGGAGGCAGUAGCCACGCUGGGCAGGAGGAGGACCCCAGGGGUGACAGUGGCCAGUUCAGCACGACAAAACAGGGAAGGGGUCGAGUGACUGGUAUCUGCAGGGAUGGAAAACCCUGACAGUGAGAUCUGCGGCCAAGCUUGUUGCCCCAAGGUGUGCUGAGGAAGUUGAAAAGAGUCUCGGACUCAAGUGCUGAGGAGGGGAGAGUUGAUACCGCAGCCUGACCAAGGUGGGAGGCAAAGGUGGCAAGGCCAGACUUCUCCACCAAAGGAUGGGACGUUUGCAGGAUGGAUGGCGUCUUUGUAAAAUUUCAUCUCAUUCCGGAAAGGCUCAAGAGAAGGUCAGGCCAACCUGUUCCCUCUCCAGCCAGGACAGCCCUCCUCAACUGCAAAAAGCCAAGGCAAGCCGAUCCCUGCCUUCCUGCAAGAUGCCUUCUGUGCCUCUUGAAAAUGCUUUUUCAGUUGUCCUUGUAAAAAAAAAAAAAAAAAAAAAAAAAAAAAAGGUCUGCAUAAUAAAGUCAAUUCUGAGGGAAGGUCUCUGACUCACAUCAUUCAUGCUGCUCUUCAUUCACACCUCAGUGGUUCAGCCCUCUGCAAACUCUCUCACUGAAGCAAGCCAUUAAUAAAUCACGGGGGGGAAUGCACCUACACAGCACAAAAAGAACACAGUGCCUCCAAGCACGGGAUGGUGUAGCAGAGUAGUAGUUGCUUACGCCGUGAUCUUCUCCCUGCCUUGACAUUUCCAGAUACUCUCACAAACACCUUGCUGUAUUGUUUUAGGAGCAGGAUACAUGGAAGGUACAGCAGAAGGAAACCUGCUGGUGUCUGGUAAAAGGCUCCUAAUCAUAGAAUCAUAGAAUGGUUUGGGUUGGAAGGGACCUUAAAGACCACCCAGUCCCACCCCCCUGCCCUGGGCAGGGACACCUCCCACCAGACCAGGUUGCUCUAAGCCCCAUCCAACCUGGCCUUGAACCCCUCCAGGGAUGGGGCAGCCACAGCUUCUCUGGGCAACCUGGGCCAGGGGCUCACCACCCUCAUAGUGAAAAAUUUCUUCCUAAUGCCUAAUCUAAAUCUCCCCUCUUUCAGUUUAAAACUGUUACCCCUUGUCCUAGCGCUCCACUCCCUGACCCAGAGUCCCUCCACAGCUUUCCUGUAGCCCUUUUAGGGACAGGAACGGGUUCUAAUGUCUCCCCAGAGCCUUCUCUUCUCCAGGCUGAGCAGCCCUGAUUCUCUCAGCCUGUCUUCACAGAAGAGGAGCUCCAGCCCCCUGAGCAUCUUCGUGGUCCUCUGGACCUGCUCCAACAGGUCCAUGUCCUUCUUGUGCUGAGGACUCCAAAGCUGGACGCAGUACUAAUGAAAGAAGUUGGUAGCUCUUCACUCACUAUUACUUUUGAUCUUCACCAAGCUCUUUAUUCUGUGUUACAGCCAAGCUGGUCUAAUGGGAGACGCUGGCUGUCCCCUUGCCUCCUUGUCCCGCAUCUGUUGAUGUUGCUGCAGUGUUUGUUCAUCUGGUUGAUCCAGUGGAAGACUGUGGCUGAGGGUGAAGGAGGUAAAUAGGUUUCUAUGGAUCAGCCAGGUGAACCGAUUCAUCCUCUUCAAGGGAAGCAACAUCAUUAUGUAGCUGGGUGGGAAGAGAAGGUCCCAGCCUACAGCUGAGUGUGUUGAGCUGCAUUACGGAAACACUCUCUUAUGAAAUGCCUGCAUGGGAUGUUUGAAUCCUGGAAGGGUUGUGGUUUGUGUGGAGUUUCUGCUUUCUAGGCAACAACUUGUUUGUCUCUCUUGUGCUGCUGCAGAUCCUGUUAGGUACUUAGAGCCCAUGGAGCUUUCCCUCCUGCAGAAUAUGGAGGGAGAGGCUUUGAAAGGGCUGUGUCUCCUGCAGGAAGAAGGUGCUGUUCCUGCUCAGUCAGGCUUCCUGACUGCAUGCUCUGAGGGAGGAUCUGAUGUGGGCAACACAGAGUCUCCCAGGCUUUGGGAGCAGAGGAAGGUUUGUGAGGCCUCAGCACAGUAGGGAUGAGGAUGUGAUGCCAUCUGAGGAGAGGUUGCUCAGCCCCGUUUCAGUGAUUCAUGACCCGCUGUGUGUUGGGGAUGUUUGCCCUUCUUGGGCCUGGGAGAAGACACAGUGGUUUGUCUGGGAGCUGAACAGAGACCCCGAAGCCACCUGAGCUUGCAUGACCCCACAGCAGCUGGCAGCGGGGACACCAGCUUCCAGCAGGCUCUCUGCCCUCCUCCUGGGGGGCUGUGGAGGUGCGAAGCAAGAGAGGGGGCUCUGGGGUGAUGCAGGGGGGGACUGUGGAAUGAAGUGCAAUGCACUGUGUGUCCUGAGUCCAUCUUGGUCUUGGCAGAGAGGUCUGGCUCUGUGUCCCAGCUUGCCUGGUGGGAUCUCCCUUGCCCUGCAGCAAAGAGGUGAAAUCCCGUCAAGGGAAGGAGGUUGAAAAUCAAGUCUUUUUGGAGCCUUCCGUCUCUUCUUCAGCUGCCCCGUGUGGUCCGCAGCUGCCGAUUCUGAUGUCUAUAACAUCUCAGCCCUGCUGGAAGGAUGCUCCUGGUGCUGUAUGUCUCCGGGCAGACCCCAAGAGCCCUGCGCCCCUCUGGGUGUGCUCUCCCUCAACGGGCACUCUGCUGUGCUAAAUGAAUUGUAGCCCUGGGCUUUUGGCGUUUGGGAUGCCCGUAUCACCAAAAUCCCAUGGGAAGCCAGGUGGGAAAGCCAGAGGCCAGUGUGGGGUUGUCUCUGCUCAGCAUCUCUCUGCCUUGUGUG